UUGCAGAUCGUCUUACACUGAGUCACUGUUUUUUCUUUUAUACGUCUGUGGGUCACUAUCGCUUCAGCUCUGUUUACACUCGAGCAAAUCUUUUCUUUGGUGGCUUUUUUUUUUUUUAAAUCAAGUCAUUUAUUGAUUCAGACUUAAGAAAUGGAAGAGGAGAGCAAAUCACUGACUGGUUAUUUUCUCUCAUUGCAGGUGGUGGCUGGUGCGUGUGCAGCCGCGGUCCUUGCAGUGAUUGAGGGCGCCGCGAAGUGUCGGCGUCCGUGACGGAGCAGACAUCCAGACAUCUGGGUCUAACAUUUAUCUGAAGAGGGAAGAAGCCAGCCAGGAGGAAACCACAGGACUGUGACCUCAGAUCACCGCGAGAGAGAAAAGCAUCACAUCAGCUGUCACAUCUGAAAGCAGCAGUGAGGAUCCAGAUGAAACAACCUGAAACACCUCUGAGGAAGAAGAGACUGCAGCCUGGACUGUCAAAGGAGCCAGACGAUAUGCAAACCAAGAACCCAAACCAGGAAGUGAUGGUGGUAUUCAAAGCUCCGUCGCCAUGCGCAGGUUGUGGGUGCAGGAAGUGACAUCACUGAUGCUCCAGAACAUUGGGCAGUUGUAGACCUCCAGGAAGUUCAGGGGACCAGCAGACCAGACAAGCCCCAGCAGGGUGCUUCCUCCUGGGCACAGAGGGACCACCGGCGCCUUGGUCCUACUGGCGCUCCGGAGAGAAAAUCCUGAACCUGAUUAAAGAAGGUCAACCGUACUGUGCCGAACAAUGGGCGGGAUCAUACCACUCUGUCUGUGUGUGAGAACUUUCUCAGGAGGUAAUCAACAAAUUCAGAUUAUAGCUGUGUGUGUGUGUGUGUGUGUGUGGGUUUAUCAUCACUAUCUCCACAGCAGCUCAGACUCUACACUGAUAAUCUGAUGGUACACAGAUACACGAUGUGGGUGUUGUUGUAGCGAUAACGUCCCUUUGUUAACAGCCGCGGCGAUAAACAUCAUCAUGGCAUGAGUUUAUUUUGUGUUUGUGAUCAGGAUGUGCGUGCGUGCCUCUCGCCACAUAUCACUAAAUAUUAGACACGCCUACAAAUAAAAAAUGAUUUCUAGCAUAUACACACUUUAGUAUUGGUCUGUGCAGUAUUUAUACAUGCCAUCAUCAAACACACACACACACAGAAACAAUACUCACGGCUUAAAUAACCUGUCACAACACCACAGAGAGGAGAGAGAAAAGAGCAGCUGAGGUGGAGGUAAAGAAGGAUGGAGCAACUAAAAGUCAUUUCCACUAUCAAUAAAUAUAUCAAUAUCAUUUUUUCCAUUAAACGAACAGGUUAACAUUUGGGGAAAUGUGCUUAUUUGCUGUUUUUAGUGAGAGUGAGAUGAUAUUUGAUUCAUUGUUUGGACAAAACAAAACCCAAAGAUCUUUAAACCUCAAGUUUAAAUAAAUUAAACCAUCAAAUCUUUGCUUGAAAAUGACUUGAAACGAAAGCGGUGUUUAGCCUAGCUUAGCGUAAAUACUGAAGGCAGGGGAGGAACGCUAGCCUUUAAUCAUUCAAUCAAUAAAAUAUCCAUCACACGUUACCAGUGCCACGUCUUUAUACUGCUCACUUUGUCCAAAACCCAAAGAUACUCAAUUUACAAUCAUAAUAAACAAGGAAAAGCAGCGUGUUUGGCAGUUUUUCUUGAUAACUGAAGUGAUUAAUGGAUGAUCAAAAUGCAGAUGCUGAAGAUCUGUCAACUAACUGAUUAAUUAUUUAGGCACUACGUUAUUAAAUUACAGCAAAGAAGCGAUGAAUCCAAGAACAAAGGGAGAAAGUGUGUGUGAAUG